ACCGUGUGAGGUUACAUCGAUGCAAGGUCAAGACUGCCGCGGGCAAGCGGGUGAGUGGCAGACGGGUGAGUAGACGCGUGGGGAAGCGUACCCGUUUGGUUCGGGAAGUAACAUCGGGGAGACUCGAGCUAAUACCGGGAUACGAGCGAGGAGCUGAAAGGUUUACCGCCGAAGGAUCGGGCCCGGCUUCCGAUUAGCUAGUUGGUGAGGUGUAUGGCUCAGCCAAGGCGGACGAGUCGGGUAGCUGGUCGUGAGAGGAUGAGUCAGCCAGCAUUGGGACUGGAGACACGGCCAAACUCCUACGGGAGGCAGCAGUGGGGAAUAUUGGACAAUGGGCGCAAGCCUGAUCCAGCCAUGCCGCGUGAGUGAUGACGGCCUAGGGUUGUAAAGCUCUUUUACCUGGGAAGAUAAUGACGGUACCAGGAGAAUAAGCCCCGGCUAACUUCGUGCCAGCAGCCGCGGUAAAUACGAAGGGGGCUAGCGUUGUUCGGAAUCACUGGGCGUAAAGCGCACGUAGGCGGAUUUUCUAACGUCAGGGGUGAAAUCCCAGAAGGCUCAACCUCGGAACUGCCUUUGAUAACUGGAAAAUCUUGAGUCCGGGGAGAGGUGAGUGGAACUGCGAGAUGUA
rnacentral:rRNA from 1 species